ensembl:lncRNA
CUGCAGCAGGUUUCAGAGCUGCGUGCCCAAUUGGAGGCUCUUAAAGAAGAGGAGCAGAACAUACACUACGGUCUCAACAUCUUUAGUAUUGAACAACCAGCCUCUAAAGACAUCAUCACUCUAGAGAAGGAUGUGAAUUACCUGCAGCAGGUAUGAGAGAUCGCCCAUCAGUGGGAAGCGCUAUGGGAUGAGUGGAAGGGUGUUACUUGGCCUCCCUACAGACCGAGGCCAUGGACAGCACCGCCCAGACCAUGUUCAAGAGACUUCACACAGUCAGCAGAGAGUUCAAGGACAAGCACUGGGAGAUUGUGGACUUCUUUAAGAACAGGAUCAAGCAUUUUAAGAAUAUCGUCCCACUGAUCACAGGAAUCCAGCCAUGAGAGAGAGACAUUGGGAUCAAAUAAGACAAGAGGUGCAGCAGACAUUUGACCCGACCAGUGCAGACUUGCUUCUGGAGAAGAUUGUGGCUUUGGUCUGGACCACCAUGCUGAGCGUAUCAGUGACAUAUCAAAGAGCAAAGAGCUCUCCAUAGAACAGGUAUAAACUCUUUCUUUCUCAUGUAGGUUAAUUUAUUUCCUUUUGUCACUUCAGACUUAAAAUGAUUCUUCAGUGAAACAUUUUACAGAGAACAUUUUAUAAGACCAUAGUUCUUCUCUGAAUCUAAAGUGCAAACAAGGCUCUUUUUUUAUCAGUUUUUG